UCUGCCCUUCUCAUUCAACCCCGCAAUGGAACCAGGGGAGACCCCAAGGGACAAAAAGACGAUCGAUGAAAUUAAUCAGAAACAUCAACAAAUCUAGACCCAGCCACAUGCAGAGAGAAGGACAUGAUGAAGUAGAAGAAGCAGCAGAAGAAAAGGAGAGAGAAGAAGUUGUGCCACACACUGUUUUGUGUUUGCCCUCGGACUUGGUUAUGAAUCAUGAACCAUGAACCUUUUCCUCCGUCUCUGUUCUGAUUAUUAUCAUCUCUUCAUCGCAUUUCUUCAUUAUAAAACCAGGGCGAGCAUGGGG
rnacentral:sRNA from 1 species